GAUGAACGCUGGCGGCGUGCUUAACACAUGCAAGUCGAACGAUGAAGCCCAGCUUGCUGUGUGGCUUAGUUGCGAACGGGUGAGUAACACGUGAGUAACCUGCCCUUAACUCUGGGAUAAGCCUGGGCAACUGGGUCUAAUACCGGAUAGGAGCGUCCACCGCCUGGUUGGUGUUGUAAAGAUUUAUCGGUUUUGGAUGGACUCUCGGCCUAUCAGCUUGUUGGUGAGGUAAUGGCUCACGAAGGCGACGACGGGUAGCCGGCCUGAGAGGGUGACCGGCGACACUGGGACUGAGACACGGCGCAGACUCCUACGGGAGGCAGCAGUGGGGAAUAUUGCACAAUGGGCGCAAGCCUGAUGCAGCGACGCCGCGUGAGGGAUGACGGCCUUCGGGUUGUAAACCUCUGUCAGUAGGGAAGAAGCGAAAGUGACGGUACCUGCAGAAGAAGCACCGGCUAACUACGUG
rnacentral:rRNA from 1 species